UGUUUUCUUUGUGUUUGCAUUUGAUGCUGCGUUCCAGACAUAAUUUUUAGCCCAUAAGUUACGACCUCAAGUCACGACUCACGACUUGGUAGCGUUCCAUGCAAAGUCACGACAAACCCUUCUAGCUAGCGUUAGCUAGCAUUAGCUAGCGGCUACCUAACGUUGACGUUAGCUAGCG